UCCCCCAAGCCUUAGGACUGUGACCAGUGACCAGUGAAUGAUCCCUCUGGGCCAGCUUCCUUUGGUAAAAGAAAAGUUAAUCCUCUUAUAAUGAGACUUACAAGGAGAGAAGGGAGGGGGUAACAUGUUAACGACCUAGCUCAACAUUUGACAUGUGAAAGUAUUCAGUGUUACAAAUGAUCAAAACAUGUCAUCUGGAGAGUCAUCUUGUCAUCUCUAGUAGAAGAAUCAACUGACAGGCAAUUGCAUGAUUUUCAUAGAGAGCUCAGUUAUCAAAUAGCCACAAGGUUGUCCUUGACGGCACCUUCACUUCUUCAAUGCCUGCUAUCAGCAUCGUUAGAAUGAGAACUAUAAUUGUCUUACUGUUCACAAAAUCUCCAGGAAGACAGAAGUGUCCUUUGAGGGGACAUCAAGCAUGAUUCUAAAAUGUUGGUGUUAUAACUUCUGCAGCUUUUCAUAUUAGUAUUGGGGAGAUUAUUUCAGUUCUAACAUCCCCGUUUGAAUGAGAAAUGUCCCCAUAGUAUCAGGAACUUGAACAGUUGGUCCUUGAUUGAUGGCUCUGUUUGAAGAGAUGGUACAGCCUUACUAGAGGAAGACUGCCCCUGGAGAUAUGCUCUGAACAUUGCUUCACUCCAUCCACUUCUACUUCACUGUGCUUACAGUUGAAGAUGUAUCUUCUGCCACACCUGCCGCUGUAUCACCAACUCUCCUCUUGGAAGUAGAAACUACUUCUACAUAGAGCUUAAGGAUUCAAUGUAUAAUUUAUUCAUCCUAGUGACUCUGCUGUCUGAAACAGGCCUCAUUCACUUCACAAGUCCUGUGGGAACAUGGCCAGCCAUUAUUGGCCUUAACUUGAUUACAGAAGGGGAAAAGCAGAAGCAGAAGGAGGAUGAGAGGGAGAACAAAGGAAAGAGACAGGGGAGAGUAAGGGAGGUGAAGAAAGGCAAAAAAGGAGCAUAGAACAUUCUCCAACCUCGGGGGAAGAAUGAUAUAGCGAUAGUGCAGUUUUUUGAACUUAAGAAUGUUGUAUUCAGAAAGAUGUGGGUUCAAUUCUGAGUCCAAAAUUUCAUUUAUUAGAACUAAAGUGCUGGUCACAGUCUGUCUACAGCACCCAGUUGAUAUGAAACAAAAACUGAUAGGUUUAAAAGGCCAAAGGAUGAUGACACCAGAAGCCACCUCACCCAGCAUCCUAGAAUCAUAUCAUCAAGGCAGACAAGCAGAGAACAGCUCCCAACCAUGAAAGAGUAAAAUCAGAAGACCACUACUGCUAAACAUUAAGACACUUCCUUGUUGCCAAGGACAGAACACAGCAGAGAGGAAAGAAACAGUGAUGCCCAUGUUCAUUGGACACCAGAAAUAGAAGCUCAGUCAGCUGGAGGCUCGCAGGAAGAUGUCUGCUAUGCCAGGCUCCCAGGAUGGAAAUGUGCAUAGAGGAGUUUCAUUUGGAAGACGUUUUUAGGAGAAACACCUGCAAGGAGUGAGGGAAGCAGGAUCUCACGGAGAUGGAUUCAUCUGUGAUGUAACUCUCAGCUCUAGAGAACUUGGAUGGCUCUUCAGGGAGGUCCACAGUUGACUCCAGGGCCUCUGAACAUUAGUUACACACUGGACCCUGGGUGUCUCUAGGAAGCAUAUUUCAUCCUUCCUGAGUCAGCUCCCUUCAGUUGCCUACAGUUCACAGUGAAGGACUUUGAGUUGCCAGCAGUCAGUUCUCACAACAGCUGGAGCGGAGCAGCUUGUGUCUCCAUCCUGAAGGAAACCUGGAAUGUGACCCUCAGAAUCCACAUCUACAGCCUUCUCUGUUUUCUUCUAAGGACUCCAUAACUCCCUAUCCCAGGUGGAGAACCAGGGCCAGGGAUAUUAAGACCAAAUGGAUGUUCCCCUCUCUUUAUCUCAUUUACGUGUGUGUGUUCAGAGAUGAAAACUCUUUGAAACUGACAAGUCAUAGGGCAAUUUUAGAAAAGGGCAAGUGUGGGCUUUUUAGCAUGUCCUGCUCGAGAACAAAAUAUCACGAGAUCACCUGAAGACCAGAAGGGGACAACGAAUGUGUGAAUGCCGCCAGGGUAGCAGUGUUUAUCUGGCAGUGGACAUAGUCCUCACGUGAUCACAACCUUCCUGGAAGUACCUGACUCUGAGAACUGAACUAAAAAAGGCACACAAUACUAAUCUAACAGAUCAUAUCAUAAAAUAGCUAGAGUCCAUACACAAAGUCCAGGAGCCAUGACCAACAUGCAUGUCGUUGUGAUGGAAAGGAACAUGCCCAGAAUGUCAUACGAGCAUUUUAAAUAGGAAUAUAAGGCAAUAUGGAAAGUGUGGGUUGUACCAAAGAAGACACUAGAAUAUGGAAUUGGGAAGUCUAGUCUGGGCAUUAGAUUGUACCACUCAAUAUUAUGACAUUGGCAUGAGAAGAGAACUUUAGAGCAAAUGGGAAAGAUUUUUAGAAAGAGAAAAUAAGUAGGUAGGUACACAGAGAGGCAAAAUAAUAAAGAUAUUAAAAUGA